AGUGCAGAUGAUGUUUAUAAGCGAUCAAAGCCUGACAAUCUGUGAUUGCACUCUAUUCGCUGAUGCGCU